GAGUCGUGCAACAUCAAUGGAAAAAGGCAACCAGAACGAAUUUUGGCAGCUAUCUGAGAAAGCCUCUCUAGCUUGGUUCUCCACUGCAGUAGUACCAUGUACUAUGUGUGCUACAUUUGGAAGUUCUGGUUUAGAUGCAAUCCCAGUGGUGCAUGGCAUGCUCUGCUUUUGUCAUGGUGGACUCCUGAUACUUCAUCUGAACUGCUUCUAGUGUUGGGGAGUGGUGAACUACAUGUAGUUCAACUGGUAAUUUAAGUAGAUUUUGCAGUAGCUGGUGGUAGUUAAACUAAAUUCAAAUCUUGUUAGUGUUUUCAGUAGUUAAACUACUGGAACUACAUAAUACUUUUUGAGCUAAAAUAAAGUGUG
rnacentral:lncRNA from 1 species